rnacentral:rRNA from 1 species
GACGAAGGAUGCAAGCGUUAUCCGGAUUCAUUGGGUUUAAAGGGAGCGUAGGUGGUCUUAUAAGUCAGUGGUGAAAUCUCUGGGCUUAACCCAGAAAUUGCCAUUGAUACUGUAGGACUUGAGUAUAGUUGCCGUUGGCGGAAUAUGACAUGUAGUGGUGAAAUACAUAGAGAUGUCAUAGAACACCGAUUGCGAAGGCAGCUAACGAAACUAUAACUGACACUUAGGCUCGAAAGUGUGGGGAUCAAACAGG